rnacentral:sRNA from 1 species
CCCUAGCCCUGAUUGAAACGGAAAUCCUUUUAGUUUUUUCUUUAAAAACAAAAAGAUUGCAGUGAAAAGCAGGAAUUAGC